rnacentral:lncRNA from 1 species
UUUGAAUUUUUUCCAACCACUUAAAAACGUAAAAACCAUUCCUAGCUCAUGGGCUAUAAAAAAAAAACAGGCAGCAGGCUGGGCUGGGCCUGCAGACUAAAGUUUGCCAACCCGGAAGGAAAGCAAGAGAGUGACAUAAUGAGGACUGGGUUUCAGAAUGGUGGAUCGCAAGUAAGUCAGCCAAAGAGACUGGUGAGCAAGCGACCUGAGAGAGAGAAUAAACGACGAGGGGUGACUGGAUGAACACACUGCACUGCAUCCGUAUGAUGGAACAGAAUGGGACAAACGAGCCACACACGACCACGUGGAUUAAUCCCAAAAGCAUAUGUUGAAUGAAGGAAUCGAGUCUCAAAAGGUCAUGUCUUUUGAGGAGAAAAGAUCUGAAAAGGAAUAUCUGGCCACAAUUUGAAAUAAAAAAAUUACCUACUCUGGAUCUGGAUGGUGGCGCUGCAGGGUGGGCAGGCCUCUGCAAGGGAUGGGCUGAGGUGGAAUCAUCAUCGCCAAGGACCAAGAGAGGGUAAUUGAUUUUUGAGAAGCUCAAAACUUCGGUGAGAUUUAAACAUUAGUGGAAUUAAAACAAUAGCUGGCAGGUGUAACCUCCUUCUUCCACUGUCUUCGCCAUUUUCGUAGCUUUGGAUGAACGGACAUUCCUUCUGCAGACUCUUGAGAAUAGCUCAGAAGAGUCAGGGAACGUGAAUUUGCUGAAGGGGCAG